UUUGAAUGUAUUAUGUAUUCAUAAGUAUCUUUUUGAUUCCGUUAGCUUAUCAAUACUACGCAGCAAGUAAAAUGUUACUUGUACUUUCGUUUUCAAAAAACUGUUUUACAGGGAUGGACAUAUUUGUGCAGGUCUUAUGUUAAUAACAAUAUAUUAUGUGCAGGAUAUUUGAUAUAGAAGCAGCGGGCUUAUUCUAGAGAAGUGCUCAUAUUCAGCAGGUAUGUCAAAUUUCCCUGUCGGCUCUGCGAUUGGGUUUACACCGCGAGAUCUCAAUGAAGCGUUUUUCGUAAGCGCCACAGUCUCUGCAAUAGUGAUGGUGUUGAUCGUUAUUGCAGUUGUGUGUUGCAUAGCUUGUAAAGGUCGUAACGUGGUUAUGCCGACAUCACAAAACGCCAAAUGUUCUGCAACUUCUGUUGAGAGAUUUUUUGUGCAAAAGCCAUAGUCUCGUUCCAUAUCAAAAACAUCCAUGAACAAUCAACUCGCAACUCGCUUUGUCUCCUCUGCGGUAAGAACAUUAGCACAGUUUUUAACAUGAAAAUACAUCAACUUGUCGUACUCUUGAACAAAAGGCCUCAUAAGUGUUUGGUAUGAAACACACAAUUCUCUUGCAGUCGAGAAAUGUAUGGACAUAUGAACCAGUCUCAUGGCAACGGUAUCAAAGUGUGAAAAUUGUUGCAAGGAGUAUGCGUACAAACGAAGAAUUGAACGAAACGUGGCUGUGUUUGGCAGACAAAAACGAACAGUCAUAUGUGAAAAGUGCAACAAUACAUUCCGGUCGAAAGAAACUUUAUCAAAUCAUAUGAGAGCGAAACACACCAGUCACAAAUUCGUUUGUGAGCUAUGUGGCUAAUAUUUUGAAUGGUAAUUGAUCCAUUGAAGGCAUAUGUCACAACAAAGGCAUGGAUUUGCAAGUCGAAGUCGUCAAAACGUCAGUUUCGUUAAUGUUUGUCUGACGGCAGAACAGUCACAAUAUUUAGGAUUAAAAAGUUCAAACAAACCACAAUUGUCUCGCAAAUAAUAUGACCAUGUCACUUUAAUUUAUUUUCACAAAGGAACUAUGUUAAAUCGUUUAAAUAAUGUUGUUUUUAUGGUAUUUUAGCAGUCAUGCAUUUCGUAUGCUAUUAGUUUAUGGGCAAUUUCAAAAAGUAAAUUCAAAUCAAGUAAAUGUUAUCCAACAUAUUUUGCAUUUGCUUAAUUUUAAACACCAUUGUCAGUGUGCUUGUACAACUGUGUAAAAACAUUCUAGCUAUAUUUGUAUUUCAUUCAAUUUGCAAUAUGUUCUAACAAACUAAACUGUA